rnacentral:rRNA from 1 species
UACGGAGGGUGCAAGCGUUAUCCGGAUUCACUGGGUUUAAAGGGUGCGUAGGCGGAUAAGUAAGUCAGUGGUGAAAUCUCCGAGCUUAACUCGGAAACUGCCGUUGAUACUAUUUGUCUUGAAUAUUGUGGAGGUAAGCGGAAUAUGUCAUGUAGCGGUGAAAUGCUUAGAUAUGACAUAGAACACCAAUUGCGAAGGCAGCUUACUACACAAUGAUUGACGCUGAGGCACGAAAGCGUGGGGAGCAAACAGG